GGUAGCGAAAUUCCUUGUCGGGUAAGUUCCGACCUGCACGAAUGGCGUAAUGAUGGCCAGGCUGUCUCCACCCGAGACUCAGUGAAAUUGAACUCGCUGUGAAGAUGCAGUGUACCCGCGGCUAGACGGAAAGACCCCGUGAACCUUUACUAUAGCUUGACACUGAACAUUGAGCCUUGAUGUGUAGGAUAGGUGGGAGGCUUUGAAGCGUGGACGCCAGUCUGCGUGGAGCCAACCCUG
rnacentral:rRNA from 1 species